GAAAAAAACAAACAACAUGGCAGCUACGAAGAUGAUAAGGUAAGAUCAACGAGCGGCAGAUCUUCUCGCCUCUUUGAAAAGUGAGAUAUUGCCUCAAAAUGAGUGCGUAUGAGGGGAGAGAUGAGGAUGGUGCUAUCCAUCACAAGAUCCC